CAGAGAGACGUUCUUCAGUAUCAGAGAGACGUUCUUCAGUAUCAGAGACGUUCUUCUGUAUCACAGAGACGUACUUCAGUAUCAGAGACACGUUCUUCAGUAUCAGAGAGACGUUCUUCAGUAUCAGAGACGUUCUUCAGUAUCAGAGACGUUCUUCAAUAUCACAGAGACGUUCUUCAAUAUCACAGAGACGUUCUUCAGUAUCAGAGAGACGUUCUUCAGUAUCAGAGACGUUCUUCAAUAUCAGAGAUGUUCUUCAGUAUCAGAGUGAGGUUCUUCAGUAUCAGAGUGACGUUCUUCAAUAUCACAGAGACGUUCUUCAGUAUCAGAGAGACGUUCUUCAGUAUCAGAGACGUUCUUCUGUAUCACAGAGACGUACUUCAGUAUCAGAGACGUUCUUCAGUAUCAGAGAUGUUCUUCAGUAUCAGAGACGUUCUUCAAUAUCACAGAGACGUUCUUCAAUAUCACAGAGACGUUCUUCAGUAUCAGAGAGACGUUCUUCAGUAUCAGAGACACGUUCUUCAGUAUCAGAGACGUUCUUCUGUAUCACAGAGAC